rnacentral:rRNA from 1 species
GGGCUUGACAUCCCACGAACCUGCCUGAAAGGGCAGGGUGCCCGCAAGGGAGCGUGGAGACAGGUGGUGCAUGGCUGUCGUCAGCUCGUGUCGUGAGAUGUUGGGUUAAGUCCCGCAACGAGCGCAACCCUCACCCCUUGUUGCUACCAGGUAAAGCUGGGCACUCCAGGGGAACUGCCCCGGUCAACGGGGAGGAAGGCGGGGAUGACGUCAAGUCAUCAUGCCCCUUACGUCCUGGGCUACACACGUGCUACAAUGGCCGGUACAAAGGGAUGCCACACCGCGAGGUAGAGCUAAACCCAAAAAGCCGGUCUAAGUUCAGAUUGGAGUCUGCAACUCGACUCCAUGAAGGAGGAAUCGCUAGUAAUCGCGUAUCAGCACGACGCGGUGAAUACGUUCCCGGGCCUUGUACACACCGCCCGUCACACCACGAAAGCCAGCUGUACUCGAAGUCGCUGAG